CCUAACACAUGCAAGUCGAACGGUAACAGGAAGAAGCUUGCUUCUUUGCUGACGAGUGGCGGACGGGUGAGUAAUGUCUGGGAAACUGCCUGAUGGAGGGGGAUAACUACUGGAAACGGUAGCUAAUACCGCAUAACGUCGCAAGACCAAAGAGGGGGACCUUCGGGCCUCUUGCCAUCGGAUGUGCCCAGAUGGGAUUAGCUUGUGGUGGGGUAACGGCUCACCAGGCGACGAUCCCUAGCUGGUCUGAGAGGAUGACCAGCCACACUGGAACUGAGACACGGUCCAGACUCCUACGGGAGGCAGCAGUGGGGAAUAUUGCACAAUGGGCGCAAGCCUGAUGCAGCCAUGCCGCGUGUAUGAAGAAGGCCUUCGGGUUGUAAAGUACUUUCAGCGGGGAGGAAGGGAGUAAAGUUAAUACCUUUGCUCAUUGACGUUACCCGCAGAAGAAGCACCGGCUAACUCCGUGCCAGCAGCCGCGGUAAUACGGAGGGUGCAAGCGUUAAUCGGAAUUACUGGGCGUAAAGCGCACGCAGGCGGUUUGUUAAGUCAGAUGUGAAAUCCCCGGGCUCAACCUGGGAACUGCAUCUGAUACUGGCAAGCUUGAGUCUCGUAGAGGGGGGUAGAAUUCCAGGUGUAGCGGUGAAAUGCGUAGAGAUCUGGAGGAAUACCGGUGGCGAAGGCGGCCCCCUGA
rnacentral:rRNA from 1 species